rnacentral:rRNA from 1 species
UACAGAGGUCCCGAGCGUUGUUCGGAUUCAUUGGGCGUAAAGGGUGCGUAGGCGGCGGGGCAAGUCUGAUGUGAAAUCCCGGGGCUCAACCCCGGAACUGCAUUGGAUACUGCCUUGCUUGAGUACUGGAGAGGGAACUGGAAUUACGGUGUAGCAGUGAAAUGCGUAGAGAUCGUAAGGAAGGCCAGUGGCGAAGGCGAGUUCCUGGACAGUGACUGACGCUGAGGCACGAAGGCCAGGGGAGCAAACGGG